GACGUAGGGCGCGAGCGUUGUCCGGAUUUAUUGGGCGUAAAGAGCUCGUAGGCGGCUUGUUGCGUCGACUGUGAAAACCCGCGGCUUAACUGCGGGCUUGCAGUUGAUACGGGCAGGCUAGAGUUCGGUAGGGGAGACUGGAAUUCCUGGUGUAGCGGUGAAAUGCGCAGAUAUCGGGAGGAACACCAGUGGCGAAGGCGGGCAUCUGGGCCAACACUGACGCUGAGGCGCGAAAGCUAGGGGAGCAAACAGG
rnacentral:rRNA from 1 species